UAGUGCCUCUGCCGGAAACCAAACAGAAGCUUGAUAUAUCUGUGCAUUUUUCGCUCCAAAAUUUGUUUGUGCCUGUCUCUCGCAGAUGUGUGCAAGAAGUUCUUCCACCUGCUCUUGAUUCUACUUCAGACCCACCUGCAAUCUUCGAUGGGACGACAAGGCUGUACAUUUCCUACAUAUGCCCGUAAGCCCAACGUGCGUGGAUUACCCGAAACUGUAAGGGAUUGCAGGAGAAGAUAAAAUUGGUUCCUAUUGAUCUACAAAACAGGCCAACUUGGUACAAGGAGAAAGUUUACCCGCCGAACAAGGUGAAAUUAUUCUAAUGCAGUCUGUGCUUUAUGGGUAUUUCAAUGAAUGAUGUAUAUGAAAUUGUUCCAAAUGGUUUUAUAUGAUGCAAAAUGAAAUUCUCUGAUUAUAUUGUAGAAGAGUCAAAGUGAAUUACAAUAGAAUGGCUUCAUUGCUUGAAUAUUACAGAUUUACAAAAACUUGAUGGCUUAAUUUUAAGUGAAACUUGUGAGAAUUUAGAAAUCUUACAACUCGGUUAUGAGCCAAACAAUGGAUAGUUCUGACAAGAAGAUGAAAUUGAGAUGAGACAUACCAGUAUGCAUUUGCAUCUUCUUCAGAAAGCGGAAGCAGAAUAAGCCAAGGAAGGAAGUUGAAAGUAAGUUUAAGAUAGUUUUAUCUAGACCUCUAUGUAGACUUUAAUAUGAUUUUGUUGCCGUUGAAAAAAUUAACAAAUCAAAAAAAAAAAGUAGAACAAAUCCAAAUGACGUCAAUUAUCUCAAUAUGUUCUUGAUAAAAAUAAAUCUUGGAAAGAAAAUUAAAAGAUCCCUUCUUAAUGUGCUUGUGGAGAAUUUUGGGAUGCUAUUUCGGUGUACGAUUACGAUGGUUAAUUUUAUGAUUUGAAGGAAGUCAUCAACAUUACCUAAAAGAUCUAUGUUUUCAUUUGUUACUGUUAUUGACAUAAUUGUUAACUUGUUUCAUCAGUUUGUAAAGAUACAGAUGAAAUUAGCAAUGAGGAACCCUUGCAAUAUGAUUUUGAUACUAUUAGUCUUGCAACAAAUAACUUCUCUGAUGCUAAUAAGCUCGGACAAGGCGGAUUUGGUGUUGUUUACCGGGGUAGGCUUCCAAACAGACAAGAAAUAGCUGUGAAGAGGCUAUCUAAUGAUUCUAGACAAGGAGAACUAGAAUUUAAGAAUGAGGUUAUGCUAGUUGCCAAGCUUCAGCACAGGAAUUUGGUUAGACUCCUAGGAUUCUGCCUUGAAGGAACAGAAAGAAUUCUUAUUUACGAGUUUGUGACCAACUCAAGCCUCGAUAACUUCAUAUUCGAUCCCAUUAAUCGUUCACAAUUGGAUUGGGAUAAGCGUUACAAGAUCAUAAGAGGAAUUGCUCGGGGACUUCUAUAUCUUCAUAUGGCUGUGACCACAUACAACACAUCCCUUCCUUAUGCUGAAAGAUAUAGAAAUGGUCACUACCUGAGUACCUAAAUUUAGAAUGUGAAAUUUUGUAUUUGAACUGGUCUGUCCAGGGCCUUUUAGAUUGUUAAGUCUAUUGUUUAAUUUCAGGAAAAGUACAGGUUGCCUUGGUUUGGAAUAUUAGAAAAGAGAACUCCCCUUCCUCGAAAAAGUUAAAUGCUUUGGCCAAUGUGUGCCCAUUCUCUCUCUCUCUCUCUCUCUGUUUGUAUU